ensembl:lncRNA
GUAUAUAACUGAAUCACUUUGCUGUACAGCAGAAAUUAAUACAACAUUGCAACUAUACUACAAUAAAAUUAAAAAAACAAAAAGGAGGCCAAGCUGGCAGAGCUAGGCAAGGUGGAGAGAGACACAAACCUUUAUUUUGCAGCUUCCAAGAUGCUAGUGGGGCCUUCCUUUGGAAGAGUUGAGCGCCCUACCGCAACACUUGUUGAGCUCACAACACUCGGCGAGGCCGCGGGGAACUGCACUGUGAUCCAUGGGAAGCAGAGGCCCUACCCAGCAGCCCCCACGGGAGAGGCGGGGCAGAUCUCUGGAUCCUACCAGGAAAGAGGUGAGGGUGCAAGGAGGCCUGCCGGAAUGAGCUCCACCUGGUCGGCUUUCAGGGAGAAUCAGUGCCCAGAAGAGCCUCCUUUGCUCCAGGUCAGCUGGAACGGCCCAGGUAUGGGUACAGGGAGCGGAAGCUUUGCAUCUUCACUGCAGCACUGAGUCCAUUGGCCUUAGGAGCAGCCCUCCCCUGGGUGGGGACCGUGACGGCAGCGGCACUGUGGUGGACCACUGCUGAAUGAAGUUGUGAUGCGUGGGCACUUGGGUCUCAGUUUCCUGCGCGUAUCUCUGAGCCCUUUCUGGAGAUGACUGCAGAGAUCUCGAAGCUCUCAUUAGCCCUGCUGAAAGCAAAUUGCUCGGAACCCGGGAACACGUGCUGCUCCAUAUCCCGCUUGGGUCCAUGGUCCCGGGGAGGAAAUAUCUUCUGUCUCUUCUGGAAGCCCUUGGAUGACACUAGCUUCACUGCUUGGGAAAGAAAUAAUUGAUCAGUCAUAGGAUAUUGUCAGCUGAGCAGCAGUGACAAAAGAACCAUCCAGACUGUGCAGUUACCUAGGCCUUGGCUCCACCGCCUCUAACGGUGCUGGCCUUAAUAUAUAUGAAGCGUCUGCAAAAAUAAUCUCCAUAGAUGUUUGAUGUCUGAUAUUUUGGGAGCCAGACACUUCAUCUCUUGAGUGCCCUAGGUGGAAGGAGAAGCCUUGGAAGUGUAACGAGAAAUGAUGAGUGACCCUCUAAAAAAUCAAUGAGUCCUCUGGCGUUCUGCAUUGUUCAUCUUCACCAUUUAUAAACUCUUGUCCUGAUUUUUAAUUAUAUGGAAAAAUAGCUUCCCUCUCACUGGGCCAUGUGUUUUACAGGGACGGGGACAGGGACCAUGUGUUACUCACUCCUACAUCCCUGUUGUUGAACACCAUCUGGCUUGAGAUCACCUGGUACCUUGACAGUGUUGUGCCUAUAACCUGAAGAAGGAAGCCAUGGUUUGUCAUGGCACUGAGAACAGCCAGUGUUUGGAGAUUUAUCAGAAGGUUAAUGUUUAGUAUCAAGUGUACAUUCUCUCUGUUGUUGUGUGUUAGUCGCUCAGUCACAUCCAACUGUUUGCAACCCCAUGAUCUGUAGCUCAUCAGGCUUCUCUGUCCAUGGGAUUCUCCAGGCAAGAAUACUGGAGUGGGUAGCUGUUUCCUUCUCCAGGGGAUGUUCUCGACCCAGGGAUGGAACCUGUCUUCCCUCUAGGUGAUGUUUAUGUACUCAGCUUGGCAAACUUAGCUGGAGAGCUCUAGGAGUCUGUGGAGAAUAUAUAUUUGUCCCUGCUCAAGCCAAGAGCACACACAGUUCUGCUGCCCCCAGACUCAAGUACCCCAGGUAUUCCAAAGAAACCUGCCCUUUGAGAUGAGGAUGAAAUGGACUCAAACCCUAAUCUAUAAGCAGAGGAAGCUUGGAUUUUGCUAAUUCAUUUGGAUUUAGGAAUUACCAUUGCUAUACUC